ACGGGUAGCCGGCCUGAGAGGGUGACCGGCCACACUGGGACUGAGAUACGGCCCAGACUCCUACGGGAGGCAGCAGUGGGGAAUAUUGCACAAUGGGCGCAAGCCUGAUGCAGCGACGCCGCGUGAGGGAUGACGGCCUUCGGGUUGUAAACCUCUUUCAACACGGACGAAGCGCAAGUGACGGUACCUGCAGAAGAAGGACCGGCCAACUACGUGCCAGCAGCCGCGGUAAUACGUAGGGUCCGAGCGUUGUCCGGAAUUACUGGGCGUAAAGAGCUCGUAGGUGGUUUGUCGCGUUGUUCGUGAAAACUCACAGCUUAACUGUGGGCGUGCGGGCGAUACGGGCAGACUAGAGUACUGCAGGGGAGACUGGAAUUCCU
rnacentral:rRNA from 1 species